ACGUAGGAAGCGAGCGUUAUCCGGAUUUACUGGGCGUAAAGCGUGUGUAGGCGGUUUGACAAGUUGGAUGUGAAAGCUCCUGGCUUAACUGGGAGAGGUCGUUCAAAACUGUCAGACUUGAGAGUGGUAGAGGGAGAUGGAAUUCCGGGUGUAGUGGUGAAAUGCGUAGAUAUCCGGAGGAACACCAGUGGCGAAAGCGGUCUCCUGGCCCAUUUCUGACGCUCAGACACGAAAGCUAAGGUAGCAAACGG
rnacentral:rRNA from 1 species